UAAAACUUUAAUGAGUCAACACCCUGGCUGGGAUGGGCUUUCAGUCAUCCAGGUGCUUUUGGCUAGUCCAUGUUUCUGCACACAGCUCCUUUUCCCAUUUCCUUUACAGGUGAUGUGAUGCCCUCAUCUGACAUCUCUGUGGGCACUGCAUACAUAUGCCUCACAUCUAUCUAUACAGUCAAAACAAGUUGACAGGUAAAAUAAAGAGAUGGAUGACACCCCACCCCAGGAACUGUAUAAUGUUCAGAUACAAGUGUACCACAAAGAUUUAAUGAAUUACCUGGUCUUGCUUCUAUAACUGUACUUGCUGGCCAUAUUUUCACCCCACGGUUUUGUCCUACUAAGAGAUCCUGAGAAAGAAUCAGAGAAGUCCUUAUGAAACCUGUCAUAGAGAAAUACAGCCAUCCAUUCAGCUCUGUCAUGUACAUGAAGAAAGCUUGCUUCAAUUUGACCAUGAUUUGGAAAAGUGGUCUUUCUCCUUGCAUCUGCAGGACUCAGAGUGUCCUCAUGUGGUAAGAGCCACAUGUUGCUUUAAGGUCAGGAGGUUAAGUCAAAUGGAAGGAGAAACAUGGGGAGAAGACAGAAGAAAGGUAAAUUUGCUUUAUAUCAAACUGAUAUGAAGCCGCACUGACUCAAGAAUGCAAGUCCUUUGUUGGUCCUGUGGUUUUUUUGUGUGUGUGUUUGUGUGUGUGUGUGUGUGUGUGUGUGUGUGUGUGUGUGUGUGUGUGUGUGUGGUCUAUUUCCUCUACACUGACACACUCUAUCAAGGAAGAAAGAAUCUAAAGAAUUUUC
rnacentral:lncRNA from 1 species